rnacentral:lncRNA from 1 species
UGGAAAAGACACCAGAUUCUAUUUGCUAUUAUCAUCACACAGUACAUCUGAUUGUGCACAUUACUUUUGAAUGAUGUACAGAAGCAUCCUAAUGCAUCCUUGGACACAGUUCUAAUGCUAGGCCUAUUGUACCCCAAAGGCCUUCUGGAUUUCAGCUAUGACUCGGUCUGCGACAUCGGGACCAAACAUCCUCGGCAAAUUUGAAGUCAGGUCAACCUCGAUUGACUUGGACCUUACAAUUUGGUCCCUCUUUAUCAUGUUUUCUCUCUCGCCUUCUUCCAUCUCUGAAGUAUGAUCAGCACAACUAUCAAGCCAAAUUUGAAGAAGUGCCCUAGCAGCUGUUGCUAGUUGACCACGCACUAUCUCUUCCAAGGUACCCUCUCCUCCUUGCCCACAGUCGAUGCUCAUCAGUAUUGCUGUCAGUGAGAAGGCGCUGCGCACGAAGAGGGAUCGCGAUCAGUAUGGACGGGCCUGCGGCAAUUCUUCGACCUUCUCACGCUGUUUGUCCACCUGAGUAUUUUCAUAGUAUCUCUCUAUGUAUUCGGGAUGGAGCGCAAGGUCUUUCCGUGGGAGAAGGUCCAGAAGCACCACGAUCGAAGUUGGGCUACCUUGUAUAAAUUCCAUGAGGAAAUGUGGAGCAUCUGUCGAGGCGUUCAGAAAGAUGAGAAGAGAUGUAAUGUCGAUUGCGCCAUUUGGGACUUUGCAGUGUAGUGAGGACUGGAGCAUGAAAUCAAUCUGUAGACAAGAAAAAUAAUAAUUCAACCCCACUUGUCAUUCCUUGCAGAACUCAAGAAAUUAUUAUACUGUGCUAAGCAUUAGGCAGCUUGAUUCAGGUGUUCAAGUGGUGAGAUUAAUAACAUUGUUUGAAUGCCAUUGAUCAUUUUGGCCACUCCAAUUGUAUCUGUUCAAUUGGUGAGAUACCUUUUCUUUGGAGAGUAAAAAGAAAUCUUUGAGUGGUAGGAAAAGAUCACGAAUGAGGCACAAACGCUUGAGCAGACCAAUUGUUGCCAUUUCAAUCUUGGAUGUUUCGCAGCACUAAUAAAUCAACUAAUUUGAGCAUUACUAAUCUAACAAACAAUCAUAAUUUGCUCCAAAGAGUUGGAUUGUGGAUCUUGGCUUCUCAAAGCUUGCAAGUUCACCUUGAUAGGGCAAUCACGAAUAGUUCGGCAGCAAAUUUUCAGUGUAAAACAGUUUCAGUAAACUGUACUGAAACAGUUUCAGUGUAAUUUACUGCAUUUCGUCAUAGGAUUGCUCUACUCUACCUGCCUGUCACUACAAUUUCACUAUUUCAUAUGACUAAUUGUGCUCUAGAAAUUACUGCAGUAGAAAUAAUCUCCAAUUAACAGAACAGUAAAUUUUAAUUAGCAGCUUAUACUUCGUGGGGAGAGAAGCUAAGCCAAUCGCGCAGGCACAAGCUAAAAUCUGUAUGAUCUGACGAACAAAUGUGAGAGAGGAAGGGGGUGCCAUUACCGUCGAUCCCGGCGCGCCGCGGCGCACGUCGAGCGAGCCCACGGCGUUCCCGGCGCCGCCGCCGCCGCUGCGGAACUUGGCGACGUCGGGCGGCACGGCGGAGGGGAGCAGCCGCGCGCCCAGCCGCGCCUCCGCCCGGGACGCGAGCUCCCGAGCCACCUCCCGGUGCGCCACCGCCACCUCCACCUCCAAUGGCGCCGUCGCGCCCGGCACCGACGACGCGGACGCGGGCGCGCACGCGCGCACGGCGCCCCUGAGCUGGGGAGGCGCCGCGCGGGGGAGCCGGAACGCGCCGCGGUGGCGGAGGGGCGGGUAGGAGAUGGUGGAGUGGGCCGGGGAGGUCGCCGGCGGCGAGCGGAGGUGGUGCUCUGGGCGGAGCAUGAACGACGCGAGGUGAGAGGGGAGUGAGAUUUUCCUCUUUUUUUUUCUUAUAGAAAAAUGACUCUGUGUUACAAAAUCCAUCGAAAGGACAUUUCUACUGCAAAAAGAAAUCUCGAGACGGUGAAAAUAUGAGAUAAUUGGCCUGUUUCGGCUUCUUUUUGCUGCGGCAUGCAGCCACAGCAACGCCAACAACUGAACAUUCAUAAUUGAACUUUUACGAGCAGUUCAAAUUAAGGCACUCUGUGAUUAGGUUUAUAUGCUAGUUUUUGAAAAAAAAUUAAGCCUAAAAGACAACAUUUUUUAUUUGGUUUUCUUUAAAGCUAUAAGCAUUUUUACAUUGCUAUAUAUGACUCCAAAAUUACCGUUUAUAAAACAACUAAGCUGAAAAAUUAAAUUAAAACUAUAAGCUUUUAAACUAUCUGAGUGAGUGUAGCUCAACUAGUUUGUAUUUUUUUUAACCAACUCACCUAAAAUCAAAAUCUAGAUUUGACACCGUUACGGCUAAUUGAUCUUCCAAUGAGAUAUGUUGACACAGUUUUUCAAAGGUGUUCAUAGGGGUAGGGUAUGUGUGUAUGGGUUCAUAGUACUACCUCUGUCCCAUUAUAAGUGCAGUCGUGAUUUUCCGUGAUCGUCCAUCUUAUUUAAAUUUUUUAAAAAAGUUUAAAAACAUAAGUCACGCAUAAAGUACUAUUCAUGUUUUAUCAUCUAAUAACGAUAAAAAUACUAAUCGUAAAAAAUUUUCAAAUAAGAUAAAUGAUUAAAGUUGGGUACAAAACUCAUGACUGGUGACUGCACUUAUAAUAGGACAGAGGGAGCAUGUGUUAUGAGCAUAUAUGUUUAUACUUUUUUUUGAAAAGCAUAUAAAGAGCACCUAAUCCCAGUGUUAAAUUCACGUACCAGGGACAACAAAAAGCUGCCUGAGGAUGAGAUAGGAGGAAAACGAUAGCUGAUAGGGAUCGUGUGAUGGGGGCGUGAGCAGAUCUGUGCCGUCCGUUCCGCCGCCCGGCGCAUCUCAGCCGUCCACGUGCUCGUCUAGCUGCCGGUCCAUGUAUGGGGCGUAUGGCUUUUUCUUCUUCCUCAUUCUUUUUUUGAGCUUUGAGUGUCCUCAUCUCAUCUCAUCACAUCAGCUCUCGCCUUCAGUUCCUCCCCGCCGCAUCUCCCAUCUCGUAUUUCCCAUCCUCCCUUCGCGCGUCUGGGUGAGGAUUCGGGCUUGUACUUCUUGUUAAUCCCUAGUCCUUCAGUCCUUCUCCCAUCAGGUGUCGAUUUGGUCUAUUGGUUUUUCUUUUUUACUUUGCUUAAUUCUCGUUUUUUUUUUUAAAAAAAAGGGUUGUUCUGUUGGAUCUCCAGCUGGAGCCAAGGAUACAUACUAGUAGUAAUUUCUGUUGGUUUGUUUUAGUGAUUUAUCUUGGUUUUUUUAGAUCUGGUAUACAUCUCCCGUGGUUCGAUUGGGCUGGGUAUUUGUUCUUUGAAGAUUGGUGUUUUCAGUUUUUCUUGCGUGCUAGUGAUGAUUAAAGAAGUUAAAAAUGGUGAAUCCUGGAUUAAUGUGCUCGCGUGCCGCUGUGUGCGCGCGCGGCUGGAGAUUUUUUUUUUCUCUCUGUUCUUCUGUGAGUUCUUCUAUGGAAAAUAUAUUUUUUUUCUUCUAACCUCUCCUUAAUUUGACUCGUGUGCGUAGUUACUUGCAGGUUGUCAGAAUUACUAGGUUUUGAAAUUACGACUGGUACUCCAGGCUGGUAGAGCGGCAAGGUAUGAAAAUGUAUAAAUUCAUCAUUGCUGGGCUGCGGCUCUAUAUUAAAGAGAGAUGGGGGAUUGCAGGUUUUGCCCCUCCCCCCCCCACCCCACCCCCCCACAAUAGAUGGAAUUCAGCUCUAUGCCUAGUUCGUUUAAUCCCUCCCACAAGGGGAUUGAGGGAGAUUUGGAGGGGAUUUAUUCCACACCUAUUGUUAUUGUGGUGUGGAAUUAUUCCCCCUCAAUCCCCUCCAUUCAUUCUCUCUUGGGUUUAAACGAACAAGGCUAGCAAAUCCGGAUUUUUGUCAGAAUUUUGCCUUAAAGGAAUGGUAGAUCCUGAUUUUUUUUCCAGAAUCUUGCUGGAGCAAUAGACAAUUCUGUUUGUUUGAUUGAUCUGUCUACCACAUCUACCGUGGUCCAAUUGCUUCUUAAUAUGAUUUGUGAAGACUCGUGUUUCAAUUUUCAAGGCCGAUUGAUUCUUUUAUUUGAUUUCUGAAGACUUCCAUUUCGAUUCUGUCGUGCUGGUGAUGAUUAAAGAGCUAGCAAUGGUGAAUUCGAUGAAUUUGUUCGCGUGCUGCUGGGUGCGCAGCAGUGGUGAUAUGCAUCCUUACGCAGUUCAUAUGAGGCACGCAUAAAUCGAAAUCGAUUAAAAGGCCGGAAUGUUAUUCCAUUAUCUAAAAAAAAACAAUUGCUUCUUAAUAUGAUUUGUGAAGACUUGUGUUUCAAUUUUCAAGGCCGAUUGAUUCUUUAAUUUGAUUUCUGAAGACUUCCAUUUCGAUUCUGUCGUGCUGGUGAUGAUUAAAGAGCUAGCAAUGGUGAAUUCGAUGAAUUUGUUCGCGUGCCGCUGGGUGCGCAGCAGUGGUGAUAUGCAUUCUUACGCAGUUCAUCUGAGGCACGCAUAAAUCGAAAUCGAUUCAAAGGCUGGAAUGUUAUUCCAUUAUUAAAAAAAAUCGAAAUCGAUUUUUUUCCUCAUGUGCUUGUGUUUCUUCUUUCCUGCUGCCUUCGAUACAACUCCAAAAUUGCUGUUUUAUUGAUUUUGAAAAGGCUUAUGAUAGAGUUCAAUGGGAUUUCCUGUAUGAGGUGUUGCAGAAGAAAAACUUUGACCAGCGGGUUAUAAGUUGGAUUAAAAAGAUCAGUGAGGGGGGUAAGAUGAGCAUAAAUAUAAAUGGGGCAGAUGGGCAUAAAUAUAAAUGGGGCAGAUGGGCCCUUUUUUUAAAACUUUCAGGGGGUUGAGACAGGGUGACCCUUUGUCACCUAUUUUGUUUAACCUGGUGGGGGAUGCUCUGUCAGCUAUUUUAGAAGAAGCUGCCAGAAAUGGGGUCUUAAGAGGGUUUAGUUCCAGGUUUGGUAGAGGGGGGUUUAACUCACCUUCAAUAUGCUGAUGACACCAUUCUUUUUACUAAGGCUACCAGAGAAAAUAUUUAGCUCUCAAGUUUCUUCUGUUUUGUUUUGAGAUAUCUGGAAUGAAAAUCAAUUAUCAAAAAAGUGGCGUUUAUGUUUUGGGGGUGACAAAAGAAGUGGAGGAAGAGAUAGCUAAUAUGCUAAAUUGCAAGGUUGGAAGGAUGCGGGGGGGAUAUGAGUUGUACUGUUCUUAGGAAGAAAUAUCUGGGUCACAAGGGUUUCUUUCAAGAGCAAUUUUACAGUCCUUGAAGAGUACCACGUUUUCUACUAUAAAUUUGGUAUCUCUUGAUACCUACGUACUAUGAGGUACCAAAUUUUACACUAAAUUUUUGGUACCUCCUCAAGGAUUGUAGAAUUUCUCUCCUUUCAAAGUUCUGCUGUUGGGGGGGUCUCAGUUUUGGAAAGGUUUACAUGAUUGUGGUGCAGUUCUGGAAAGGUUGAUUGAGAAAAAGGUGGAGGGGGUAAUCAAACCCUUUUCUGGGAGGAUGUGUGGCUGAACAAAGUGUCUUUAAAAACCUGCUUGGCUGCUUCCCAUCUCUGUAUUCAGCAAGUUAUCAACACAAGGCACUGUGAAUGAGUUGUGGGAUGGGGGGGAUUGGGAUUUACAUUUCAGAAGGAACUUGAACAGUCAAGAUAGACUAGAGUUGGAUAAACUGCAGAGGGAGCUGGAGGGGGUUACUCUAAAUGGAGAGAGAGACAUGGUGAUUUGGCCUCAUGACAAAAAGAAAAUUUUCUCCACAAGAUCUAUGUAUAGGGUGCUAAAAUUUGGAGGGGUGGUAGAUCAAGAAAUCCAAGGGGUGUGGAGGUGCAAGAUACCUCUAAAAAUCAUGCAUUUCCUCUAUAUGACAGGGAGAAACAGGAUUCCAUGUACAGAGCAAGCUUUGUCUAGGGGAAGAAAGCACUACACAUGUUUUAUUUACUUGUCCCAUUGCUAAAUUUGCUUGGAGUGUAAUUGCUAUAGUUCUAAAUUUGCAUAAUGUACCUAUCUCUUUCUGGGAUUGUAUCAAGGUUGUAACCAAGAAAAUGGGGUUUCAGGGGGGAAUGGUGGUUUUUGCAGGAAUGACCUGGGGUUUGUGGAUUACCAGAAAUAAUUGGGUUUUUAACAAUAAACUGAUCAAAUCACCUUUGCAGGUCGUGUACAGGUCUUUGUCUUUGAUGCAAAGGUGGAAGGUGCUGCUAAAAGAAAAGGAGUGUACUAGCUUGGAUGUCUUUCAAGCAAAGAUAAUGCUGACGUUGGAAGUGCUGAAGCCGACUGAUAAUCUUCCUGAUGAUAUAGGAUAGUUCAUGGGAAUGGGCUCUGAAAAUAUUUGGUCUUUUGUUGUGGGUGUUAAAAUGUCUGGAAGGGGGCUAGGUUUAGUGGAUGUCCAAGCUUUUGUUGAGCUGGUUUGGAAAACUGGAAUCCCCAGUUUUUUGUUUCCUUUUGUUUCGUUUUUCUGUAAGAACUCUGUUUCGUUUGGGCUUUUUCUAAAGCCGGGUAAUAUAUGCCUGUUGUCAAAAAAAAGAUGCUGUUUUCUGUUUACAUUUUUUCCUUUUGGCUUUGCCGUUCGAACUCUCCAUUCUUGAUACAAUAAUUGUGUAUUUCAACCGAAAAGAGAAGGCAAAAACAACUCUCCAAAAAACUUGGAGUUUAUGUUUUGUGCCAUGUGUGCUUCUAGAGCUGCGAGUAGCUGUAGGGAGCCAGGAUUAGUAUGGCUGGUAGUUAGUGAAUUUCUGAUUGAUAGCAUUUCAAUUUUGUCAUAAACUGGUGCGUUGAUCUAUGAAAUUAGGCAGUUAGAUUCAUCGCAAAUUUUUAAUGGGAUGAGAAUAUGUAAACACGGUAUGUAAAGUUAUCCAUUAACUAGUAAUACAUUUGUAAAAUAAAAUAAUUGACUGUCCUUUCUCUUUAAGAAAUUGAGGAAACCACCCGUGAAAUCAGUUUACUGGUACUUAUAAAUUAUAUUAUCUUUUUGGGCACUUUCUUUUAAUGAGGGCAUCGAUGUAUCUCUAGAGGAGGCCGAGAUUUGGGUUGAAACGGCUAGAGUAAAAAAUCGGCAUGAAAACCAACACUACAUUGGUUUGUAUAAUUGUAUAGACAAAAUUAUGACAUCUGAUGGUAUUUGCAAUUAUAAAUUUAUAAUCACACAAUAUAUCUGAUUGUUCAAGCAAAAGGGACAAAAGACUACUAACAUUACUUUCGAAUGAUGUACAGAUGAAUUCCUGGUCACAGUUCUAAAGCUAGGCCUCUUGUACCCCAAAGGCCUUCUGGAUUUCAGCUAUGACUCGGUCUGCGACAUCGGGACCAAACAUCCUCGGCAAAUUUGAAGUCAGGUCGACCUCGAUUGACUUGGACCUUACAAUUUGGUCCCUCUUUAUCAUGUUUUCUCUCUCGCCUUCUUCCAUCUCUGAAGUAUGAUCAGCACAACUAUCAAGCCAAAUUUGAAGAAGUGCCCUAGCAGCUGUUGCUAGUUGACCACGCACUAUCUCUUCCAAGGUACCCUCUCCUCCUUGCCCACAGUCGAUGCUCAUCAGUAUUGCUGUCAGUGAGAAGGUGCUGCGCACGAAGAGGGAUCGCGAUCGGUAUGGACGGGCCUGCGGCAAUUCUUCGACCUUCUCACGCUGUUUGUCCACCUGAGUAUUCUCAUAGU